AGAAAUUAACAGCUUAUAUAUAUUACGAAACAAAUUAUCAAUAAAUUAUUAACCAUCCCCUCUACCAUCCUUAUUUUCUCCUAUUAUUGUGUCCAAUUUUUCUUCUAUAUGAUUAUUCGACAAUUUACUGUUCUUUAUCGUAUCACCGCGACAUAAAUCAUCAAAAUUUUCUCGAAUAUCACUAUCUGUCACAAUAGUUUUUUCUGCGCAAUAAUCUUUUAAAGCUGGUAAGGCAUUCGAUUGCUUGACUUUCGGAACAUCUUGUAUUUGCGGUACGUCGGUACCAGGAGUUACCUAAAAAAUUAUUUGUACAGGUUCUCGAUUUUCUAGACUGUGUAAUGAAUUACCUUUUCCAUUUUUUCUCUCAUGGCUAAUUCCAAAUCUCAAUAAUGGUCCUAAGCCUAAAUUAAAUGAUGCUCCAGACAGAAAGAAUGGUAUCAUUAUUAUAACAAAACCUAUACAUAUGUACAGCAUACAUUUUAUUAUCCAUCCAUAUGUCCAAGGCAGGUUAUCUAAAAGAUUAAAUGAAAUUAUGAAAUCAACUGAAUUAUUAAGAUGUAACUAUGAAUAAAACUUAUCAAUUACCUGUAGCAUUAUUUAUAAAGCCAGAUAUAACAGUUCCUAUGUGCGUAACUGGAUGAAGAACAACGGUAGUAAUAAAAUGUGAUAAUGCAAAUGCAGGUGUAAUUUUUAGUUUUGGAUUAGACAUUACUGUUUCAUAAUAUUGCUCACAAUCGUCCUUAGCUACAACGAUAGAAAGAUGACAGUAACUUUCCAGAGCAUUUUUCAAUGUACCAAUAUACUUACAAAAGAAUGAAACAAACUUGUGCCACAAAUUCAUCUUAUCGGGUUGACAUGAAAUUGGUAUGUCUGAAAAUUUCAUUUGUGCAGCAACAGACUUAAUUUCGGCUUCCUUAAAAGAACAAACAUAUUUAAGGAAUAAUAUUCUUUUAAAACUGAAAUAAAAUUAUAAGU
rnacentral:misc_RNA from 1 species